GAUGAACGCUAGCGGGAGGCUUAACACAUGCAAGUCGAGGGGCAUCACGAGGUAGCAAUACUUUGGUGGCGACCGGCGCACGGGUGAGUAACGCGUAUGCAACCUACCCUGUACAGGGGGAUAGCCCGGAGAAAUUCGGAUUAAUACCCCAUAAUGAUAUUUUAUGGCAUCAUAAAAUAUUUAAAGCUCAGGCGGUACGGUAUGGGCAUGCGUAACAUUAGCUAGUUGGUAGGGUAAUGGCCUACCAAGGCGACGAUGUUUAGGGGUCCUGAGAGGGUGAUCCCCCACACUGGUACUGAGACACGGACCAGACUCCUACGGGAGGCAGCAGUGAGGAAUAUUGGUCAAUGGGCGCGAGCCUGAACCAGCCAUCCCGCGUGAAGGAAGACUGCCCUAUGGGUUGUAAACUUCUUUUCCAGGGGAAUAAAAUCUCGAACGAGUUCGGGACUGAAGGUACCCUGGGAAUAAGCAUCGGCUAACUCCGUGCCAGCCGCCGCUGUAAGAC
rnacentral:rRNA from 1 species